ACGCUCGACACCUACUGGAGGCAGCAGUCGGGAAUAUUGCGCAAUGGAGGAAACUCUGACGCAGUGACGCCGCGUAUAGGAAGAAGGUUUUCGGAUUGUAAACUAUUGUCGUUAGGGAAGAAAAAGGACAGUACCUAAGGAGGAAGCUCCGGCUAACUACGNGCCAGCAGCCGCGGUAAUCUGAGCGGGCUGGCAAGGC
rnacentral:rRNA from 1 species